UGGGGAAUAUUGCACAAUGGGCGCAAGCCUGAUGCAGCCAUGCCGCGUGUAUGAAGAAGGCCUUCGGGUUGUAAAGUACUUUCAGCGGGGAGGAAGGUGUUGAGGUUAAUAACCUUGUCGAUUGACGUUACCCGCAGAAGAAGCACCGGCUAACUCCGUGCCAGCAGCCGCGGUAAUACGGAGGGUGCAAGCGUUAAUCGGAAUUACUGGGCGUAAAGUGCACGCAGGCGGUCUGUCAAGUCGGAUGUGAAAUCCCCGGGCUCAACCUGGGAACUGCAUUCGAAACUGGCAGGCUAGAGUCUUGUAGAGGGGGGUAGAAUUCCAGGUGUAGCGGUGAAAUGCGUAGAGAUCUGGAGGAAUACCGGUGGCGAAGGCGGCCCCCUGGACAAAGACUGACGCUCAGGUGCGAAAGCGUGGGGAGCAAACA
rnacentral:rRNA from 1 species